rnacentral:lncRNA from 1 species
CAUUGGGCUCAGCUGGCCGGCCCAUUCCAUCAGGCCGGGUCCUGGGAGAGGUUCCGCGCCGGAGCUCCGUCGUUCGCAGGAAGUGCAGGAACCUGCAAAGGCCAGGAACGCUGCGGUGGAAUCCAGCCGCCAUAGGCCGUCUGCUGCCUGAGAUUGGAGGAAUUUGUUUUAAAGAGGGGCGGGGCCAGCCUGUGUCUGUGUGUGAAUGUGGGGGUCUGUCAGGCUCAGCAAAAACAGAGUAGAAUGAUGGACAGUGACUAUGAGCUGUUAUCCGAGGACUGCUGUGCACAACCCUGCAAAGUUAUAAUUCCUGAGGCGAGCGAGUGCUUCAUCUGCCGGGAGGGUCAGCUGGGGACCAGGGAGCCCAUCAGGACGUUCUGCGACUGCAGGAGCCUGCUGGCCCACCACCACUGCCUGCUCACCUGGAUCAGCAAGGGCCAUGGCAACGACGACCGGCUGAGGUGCAGCGUCUGUAAAGUAAAGGCCCCCGGGGCUCGGCGCAACUCCACCGCGGUUGACCCUGUCAUCAUUAACUUCACCCAGCCAGCUCCCACGGGUUGGCAGGGCCCGGCACUCUGCAGUCCGGCCAGAUGAUCAAACGGCCCUUUCGCUC